AUAUUCUCUCUAAACCUCCAACAAACUUUCUUUCUCUCUCGUUAGUUUUCCAAACCUUACCCUAAUCUCCAACAAUGGCUGGUGCUUCGUCUUCUUCAACAAAGAUUCCUCCGUUCAUGUUCAAGAAUCUUCAGAUCGUUGGGAACGAGAUGGAGUUUCCAGAAUCUGAACUCACUUUUCUUUCAGAGAAGAUGGUUGAUUUCGACGGUCUACAAGCUAAUGGGUUUGAAGUUAAAAAGUACUUUAUCACUCAGGGAUGGGAUAAGUACUUCGACAUGCU
rnacentral:lncRNA from 1 species